CUUGCCCUUGCUGUUACAUAAAGCCUCCAGAUUAUGUAAGACUGGACAUCUUGUCCAGUCUUCCAUUUUUCUUUGUGUGGGCAGUUCCGUCUCUCCGGGCGAGAUAGUGGGAUGGAAGGAGGUGUGGAGAGUGUGGGCAAAUUAGUGGGCGCUUGUUUUUCAGGCGGUACAGUUCCUUUGCAGCUGGAACUCACAGCGCCAGCUUCCAGUCUAAUUGUGGCACUUGUGCUGAACAGCCUUGGCCCAAGGCUUUCCUCUCCUCCACGUUACCAAACGAGCGCCGGCGGGUGAUGGAGUGGCAGGGGUGGAUUCAUCUGUGUGUAUGUGGGAGAGUUUGCACAAACAAAUUGGUCGUAGAACGUGUUGGAAUCGCAGCCCGCUGAGCGCGGGGCUCACGGUGCCGCCGCUCUUCCUGCUGGGCUGCGCACAUACGAGCGCACUGCGACCACGCUGAGGAUCCCCGGCUCUCACUGUUUACCCGCUGUUUCCUUCUGUGCGUCACCGGAUCGGUGGUUCAAAAACAAGGGAGUCUGCACCAGAACCUGAGUCUGACAUGUUUUGCGGUUGACAUCAUGAGAUUGACCAGUCUGGAAGACACAACGCACAAGACGUGGAUGAGAUCACGUAUAAAUCUCUUGAAUAACGUCUGGUCUGUGGUAAAUGAUUAUUGAAGUGAUUUGUAGCUGAUGUUUGAUAUGAAAUAAUGGCUCGUGAGCCAAAAACUUGUAUUCCUUUAUAAUAAGCUUUAUCACCAUCAUACAACAUUUUUUUUUAAGUUGACAUACUUUUGAAACACUAUUUCCACAGCUGAGGAAAAACUAAUGUUCAGUGUUGAUCUAGAGACAUGAGAACGGUGAGCUACAUCUUUUAAACGUUUCUCAGCCUCCAGAAGCUGAAAAAGCCCCUACGGCAUCGUCAGGAGUUAUGCAACACUGGGUAGCUCCUCCAGAGCUACGGAAAGCAUUAUGUAACUUCUGUUUUUUUGUUUUUUUUUUUUACAUCUAAGUGUAGACUGAAUUUAGCUUGUCAAGUUCCACAACGUCAAUGGCAGUGAAAUUAGUGUAGAGAUUAUCUUUAGCACAUUUGUGAAACGCGCAAAUACUGUUGGACUUGCUGUUUGAUUUCCUCCCAGUGAAAAAUGGGCUGAAGUGCAGAGUCAAACUGCUGGAUCGUCACACCAGGGAUAGGAACCGAUACUCAGUACCAUUAUGACUGACUCGAAUGGUAGUAACCAAACCGAAAAGCAACGCAAAUUUUGGUACUUCGUUUUGAAUUUUUAAGUACCGCCUCCUUAGCCGUGCCGAUGCUACAUGUGAUCUCACAUCAGCUUUACAUCUGCAUGGAUGCAGGUUUGACUGUACUUCACCUCAGAAGUACUCGGCAACCUCCAACAAGUACUCAAAUGCGAUAUUGUGCAAGGAAGGUAACACCUGGAAUUUGAUUUAACAUCUGAAGACGUAUAGCAUUUUUUGUAUGGUCUUUGACAGCCUGCCUGACAGCGAAACCACACACCAAGUUAGCAGCAUCCCCGAAGAGGAGAGUCCCAGCGCUGCCAGCGUCAAAGACAUCACACAUGAUGAUGACAGCAGCCAUCCUUCUUCGCAUGACUAACUUAAUGUUGUUAAUGUGUAAUUUAUGCCGAUGACUCCCUUCACCUCGGCCAAGAAGGCUCAAGUGACAAAAGAAAAAGUGGAGGGAAUGCACAAAGCAGAAACCGCUGAAGGUUUAAUGUUGCUAAGUGUUUUGGAGGCACUUAAACAUUGAAAGUUGAUAGAAAUUACUAUAAAAUCAUGUGACUUUUUAGUUUGCUGUUAAUUUUAGUUGUAUUUAUAUUAUUCAAAUUCAUAUUCUGUUCAACUUCCAUGUCACAAAAUGCCUUUUUGGACACAGUUUGUAUGUUUUUUAUUCUCUAAGCACCGGUUCAGGCACCUUUAAGUAACGCUUUGGCACCAGUAUUGGAUAAAACCUUAAUAAUACCCGUCCCUAGUCACUGC